UACGUAGGGAGCAAGCGUUGUCCGGAAUCAUUGGGCGUAAAGCGCGCGUAGGCGGCCCGGUAAGUCCGUUGUGAAAGUCAAAGGCUCAACCUUUGAAUGCCGAUGGAUACUGCCGGGCUGGAGUCCGGAAGAGGCGAGUGGAAUUCCUGGUGUAGCGGUGGAAUGCGCAGAUAUCAGGAGGAACACCGAUAGCGAAGGCAGCUCGCUGGGACGGUACUGACGCUGAGGCGCGAAAGCGUGGGGAGCGAACAGG
rnacentral:rRNA from 1 species